rnacentral:rRNA from 1 species
AUACCGCGUGUGUGAAGAAGGCCCUAGGGUUGUAAAGCACUUUAAGUUGGGAAGAAAAGUUAUUGGUUAAUACCCAAUGACCGUGACAUUACCAUCAGAAUAAGGACCGGCUAAUUCCGUGCCAGCAGCCGCGGUAAUACGGAAGGUCCAAGCGUUAAUCGGAAUUACUGGGCGUAAAGCGCGCGUAGGUGGUUUAUUAAGUUGGAUGUGAAAUCCCCGGGCCCAACCUGGGAACUGCAUCCAAAACUGAUUCACUAGAGUACGAUAGAGGGAGGUAGAAUUCACACGUGUAGCGGUGGAAUGCGUAGAUAUUGUGAAGAAUACCAAUGGCGAAGGCAGCCUCCUGGAUCUGUACUGACGCUGAGGUGCGAAAGCGUGGGUAGCGAACAGGAUUAGAUACCCUGGUAGUCCACGCCGUAAACGAUGUCAACUAGCUGUUGGGGAACUAUGUUCUUCAGUGGCGCAGCUAACGUAGUAAGUUGACCGCCUGGGGAGUACGGCCGCAAGGCUAAAACUCAAAUGAAUUGACGGGGACCCGCACAAGCGGUGGAGCAUGUGGUUUAAUUCGAUGCAACGCGAAAAACCUUACCUAUACUUGACAUACUUGGAAUGCUUUGUAAUGAAGCAGUGCCUUCGGGAGCCAAGAUACAGGUGCUGCAUGGCUGUCGUCAGCUCGUGUCGUGAGAUGUUCCGUUAAGUCGGAUAACGAGCGCAACCCUUACCCUUAUUUGCCAGCGAUUCGGUCGGGAACUAUAAGGGGACUGCCGGUGAUAAACCGGAGGAAGGUGAGGACGACGUCAAGUCAUCAUGGCCCUUACGUAUAGGGCUACACACGUGCUACAAUGGAGAAUACAGACGGACGCUAAGCCGCGAGGUGGUGCUAAUCCUAGAAAAUUCUUCGUAGUCCGGAUUGGAGUCUGCAACUCGACUCCAUGAAGUCGGAAUCGCUAGUAAU